rnacentral:lncRNA from 1 species
UAAAGUAUGUGUAAAUAAAAUAAGAAAAAUGUAAAACUAAAUGAAAUAAAAGAAAAUGUAAGUAUAAAAAAAAUGUAAAGUUGAGAUUAAUUGAUUCUAUUAAGUCACACUCGGCCUAAGAUUUCAUUAUGAUGUCUAACAUGAUAAAAAUGAAGUCAUAUAUGAUUAAUGUGUGAGUAGAUAUGUUUGGAAACCUGAUUUAUUCCUUUGGUCGUAGAUUGAAAAAGUUGAGCAUAUUAUAGAUGGAAUGUGUUGUGAAUGCAAUAACUAGUAAUGGAAGGUUGGGUUAUGGUCCCCUCUUCCUUUUCUCUAAAAGAGAUAAACUACAAAUGAGGAUUGAUGUAGAUGCAUGCUCUCUUCCUCGCUAAGUAUUAAUCAUCUUUCGUUUUUUCUAAUGUCCAUUGUUUUAGCUCUAUCCAUUGUUUUAUCUUUAACUUUCAGCAUCUGUAACAUCUUUUUGUUCAUUUCUGUAGGGACAGGAUACGUUGCAAUUGAUUUAUUACCUACACUUUCCUCCCUAAUUAUCACUUUCUUAACCCAUCAAAUUAUCAAACCCCUGCUUAUUUCUAACUCAUUGCUAUACCAUAUUCAUGUGCAAGAUAUUUUUUAAAACAUUGUUAUAAAAUAUACUUCCAAUUAUUUUAUUUUUAUAUAUAUUAUUGAUAAAUUUAAUGUUAAUAAUUAAAUUAUUCGUUUUUAAAAUAAUAUUGAUUUCAUUGAAGAAGGAAGUAAAUGAAAACCAAUUAAAUUAAAUUGUUUGAGAACAAAUUCGACGUAAUAAUUAGAGUGUUAUCAAAUAGCUAUGCUGAAAACUAGUAAAAGUUUGAGAAAGGUAUAUUUGACUUACCAUGUUUUAAAUUAUAGUAUGCCAAUUGGGUGAAAGCGAUAGAGAGAAAAUUCAAGUGCAGUAUAAGAUCGUACUCAAAUAUAAAAAUUAAUUUAUUCAUAGCGAAUUUGUUUGGCUUAACAAUGAUUGUAAAUUAAAUAAAACAUAAAUUAAAAAAGAAAUAGAUUAAAAGAUUUGACAUUGAAAAGGAUUGAACAAAAAUUGAAGAUGAUGAAAUUAAUAAAAUUUUUUAUUAACAAGAAAAAAUAAAUAAAUAUGAAUACAACCUUUAUACAAAAUAGAAAAAUAAAAAAGAGUUAAAGUCACACACCCCUAUCUAAUUCAAACACCCAACAACAAAAACAACCUACUAUGCAUAAAUACCCAUUUAUUGUUAAUCUUUUUCCUCUUGUAAUUCUACCAACAGAUUGCCUGAGUUUUAGCCGCUACUCUUCCUUAGGUCCUCUUUAGUUUACAUAUUACCUCCUAAAGCAAAAGCUUACACAGGAGACAUGUUGUUUUACCUCCCUGACUUACAAAAUACGCAAUUUCUUCCUCUUUAAAGCAAGGGGUUAGUUAUUCAAAACUAUUAAACCUGAAGCACUACUUCUUAACAUAUUUGAUGCAUACUAAUGGUUUCAUGCACCAUUCAAAAUAAGUGAACUCUGCAGAUUUUUCUUUACAUGUAAUUCAUGCCCAUGUUUUUCUUUCUACCACUGCAAAGACCUCUAUAUAAUCAACUCUCUUGUUCUUAAAAACACUCAUAUUCCUAUGUUUUCAAAUUUCACCUACAAAUGCAAUUCACACCCCUUCCCAAACUCAGGACAACGAACCUUUCACAUUAGAAGGGCAAAAUAUCAAGAAGUGUACCUUAACAUCAUAGUGAUUCACCGACAAAGAACUUAGCCAAGACAAACACAAACCCCAAAUUAUCAAGGUAACCUUACACUUAAAAAAGAGAUGGUUAAUAGUCUCUUCUCCCCCAACACCCUCCAAGCUAUAACUUGUGUAGAUGAGAGAGACUUAUGAAUAUUUUUAGGAUGAUAUGGGUUUAUACAAUACUAAACAAAUGAAUAUGACGUACCUUUCGCACUUCACUUAAAAAAAUAAUAUCUGGAUUCUUCAAAGCUUGAAGAAGAUGAAUGAAAGAGAGAAAAAUAUACAAAGAAUUAUGGAAGAGAAGAGAGAAGAGAAUCGUGUGUAUGAAAAUCACAAUAUAGCAUGAUAUCAUUAAUUUGAUGCAAAAAGAAUUAUCCCAAUAAUUUUGUAU